GGGCAGACACCGAAAGGGUUAACGGAAAGGAAAUUUCUGGAACCUUCUAUUCUGCGGCGCUACACAGCAAGCGGAGGGCUGAAGACUGCGCAGAUGGUGCACGGGCAGAGCUCUUCGGUCCGGUUCGUCUUUCCCACUGACCAGCAAUGAAGAUGGGCAACUGUGCCUGGAAGUUCUGAGGACACAACCAGCUUUGAGCUUGGUCCCUCUGGCUGAGGAAGUCGCCCGGUUAUGCAGUGGAGUGGUCACCACUUGCACUGUCACACCCCUCUGUCCUGCACCUGGCCCUGGUCUGACUCAUUCCUCGACUGGGGGAUGAUGCAUCGAGCCGCUCUGCCUCAGAUCCGCAUGCGAAAUGGGAGCAUUUCCUCCAGGGGAGACCGGAGGCCGAUGAACCACGAGUUUCAUUCCGGCUUUUCAAAAUGGAAGAAAAAAAUUACGAUGCUCACAGGGUCACACAGAGGGCUUAACUCACUGUAGAAGCCCCAGAAAGUGCCUUAAUGUACAAGCUGUGGGCUCUGAAAACCAGGUCUGCAGCACCUGGGCUUGUCUGGUUCGUGCAGACUGGAUUAAAGGUCGGCAGCCAGGGAGGAGGCUCCCUUUCAUGGGGGAGGCAGGGAUUUCUUCCCUUUUUUGACUUGUCUAGAGGGCAUAAAGCAGUGUGAAGUCCAUGAAAGGCUUUGAGAUGCUCCUCAGAAAGAAGCUAUAGAACUGUACUGCUGCUAAAAUGUGUCUGAAAAGGAGAAAAAAACAGAGUGAUAGGGCUGCACGUGCUAUUACUUAGCAAAAACCCCGGGACAUUUGGCAAGGCCAGCAGUAGCUGACAGGAUGUCUCUGCACACGUGUGUGUCCCCACAGGUAUAUGUUCAACACGCAGCAAAUGCUUGAGACAAGCAGUUUAUUUAUUUUUUUCCCCUGCAUGCACAUUACCAGUCGAGCACUGCCUAUCACGUGGCCCUGAACUGCUCUCUUUUUCUCCUUCCUUCUGCACGCUGCCUGCCCCGGCAUGCCACUAGGUUUGGAAAGAAGAGCAUAUGCUGUCAGGGAUGUGUCCCCCGUGAGAGGUGUAGCUGCAGUUCAGCAGCAAGGGCUGACACCUUCUGGCUGCUGGGAGGGCAGGGGAGCUUGCUGAGGCAGAGCAGGAUCUGCAGGUAGCCUGCAGGAGGGGCAUCAUCAUCAUCUUAAUCACGCUGAAAGGAAAUCUGUUUUUAAUCAAACUAUAAAUAAUGAAUGAGCCAUUGGUCUUCAACUGCUGCACGAUAUUUCUGGAAAGAUUGCUGUGCUCUGGAGGGUGGAGGGGAAGGUGCUCAGACCCAGCUCCUCAGAGGCACUCAGGGGCUCUCCAGGCCUUGCACCUCCAGGGCAGAUGGCAUUUUCCGCAGCACAAACACACCUGACAUUCCCAGCAACUUCCUUGAAAACCUUAUAUAAAGAUUCCUGUUUACUGUUCAGGCACGUGCUUAAUACUAAGAAGAAGAAAAAAUACAAAGCAGCCCUCACUUGGAGCCUGUUUCCAAAGGAUGCUGCUGGGGUACUUUAUCUGUGCCGCAGCGAACCUCUAGCCAGCAGUAACUCUCAGUCCGGCUUUUCAGUAGUAAAUCUUUAUGCUGAUAAUAUAGGAUGCCUCAUAAAUAACUGUGCCAGCAAGAUGAACACUGGGGAGGGAACCUGCUUUCCACUUCUCUUUCACCCUGCUGCCCUAGUUAAUGGAUUUAGAAACUCCAGUAAAUACCCAGACAGCAAUCUAGUGCAGUUCUCCCCCCGCCCCUUCUUGGAAGGACGCGCUGUGUUCCCUGAGCUUUCCUCUGCUGUCCGUGGGUGUGCAUUAGAUGUAGGCACUGAAGCAGAUUCUUGGAUCUGGUUACAAAACCGAUGCAAGGAGUUGCCAAAAACCCAGGGCAUCGAUAAGUAAAAACUCACAACUCCGCUCCUGCCCAACUUCAUUCCGUGUCGCAGCAGCUUCUGCAUCAGCACAGGUCACACACGGCGGCCAGGGUCUGAGAGCUCCCAAAUGACGCGUGUGUAUUGUUCACAGGCCUGAAGACCCCCCGUAUGCUCCCACACACUCGCUGCAGGUUAACCACCACGGCUGCGCCGUGCUACGGUGCUGCUCACACCUAUUCCCUUCCCAAUAACCGUCAGCCGCUCAUUUUCACACUCUCCUACCUCCCUGGCAACUUUUGUUGAACCAGUUGCAGUUAUAUUUGCAACUGCUCCCUUUUUAGGCUUCGUUCUGGCCCACAGCUCAAAGUUGUUUCCAUGUCAUUUAUUUUCAUUAAACCUUAUUUCGUGCUCACGGGAUUUGGAACUCCUCACAAAAAUCUGCAUCUCCUUGCUAAUUAAAAGCACGCUACUUACAAGCCACGGGAUGAAGCUGACAAAGUGCCACCGUGACAGUCAGUUUCCUUUCCCUAUCACAAAAGCACCCAACUUCUCUUUAUCUACCUGUCCUCUCUGAUGGCAUGGAGGUUAUAGCCUGGCUGUGAGUGCAAUAGCAUCAAACAUUGCUCCUGUACGACACAAACUUUUUAUUCCUCCUCCCAAACCAGUAGCAUCCUCGGCACUACAAAGUCAGCCCUUUUUUUGCCCCUAGCUGCUAAGAGCUUUGCUUUACCUGGCUACCAAAGGAAAUUGCACUCACUGCUACAGCAGUAGGCUCCUUCAUCAUGUCUCAUUGCUCCUAUAUCAGCCUCAACUAAUGCCGAAAAAUGUGUCAAUAA